AUAGGGAUCUUCUCUGGAUCGAGCAAUGGUGGUGAAAAAUGUUUCGCAAAGGCAAAAAACAACGCAGUAGUAGCAGUUCCCAAAGUAGUGAAAUCAGUGCUAAGAGCAAGUCUGUAGAUUCUAGCCUUGGGGGUCUUUCACGAUCCAGCACUGUGGCCAGCCUCGACACAGAUUCCACCAAAAGCUCAGGACAAAGCAACAGUAAUUCAGAUACCUGUGCAGAAUUUCUAAUAAAAUAUGUUGGUGCCAUAGAGAAACUGAAACUCUCUGAGGGAAAAAGUCUUGAAGGACCCUUGGACCUGAUAAAUUAUAUAGAUGUUGCUCAGCAAGAUGGAAAGUUGCCUUUUGUUCCUCCAGAGGAAGAAUUUAUUAUGGGAGUUUACAAGUAUAGCAUAAAAGUAUUAACAUCAGAUCUAUAUAAUGUUUUGCACAGGCAUGCUCUCUACUUAAUAAUCCGGAUGGUUUGUUACUGAUGAUGGUCUGGGGGCAGGAAAAAGUUUACUGGCUCUGAAGACCACAGAUGCAAGCAAUGAAGAAUACAGCCUGUGGGUUUAUCAGUGCAACAGCCUGGAACAAGCACAAACCAUUUGCAAGGUUUCAUCCACUGCUUUUGACUCUGUAUUAACAUCUGAGAAACCUUGAAUCCUGCCAUCAAGUGGAAGUCAACUUCAUCUGAAAGUUCAGUUGUUUUCAGUCUGCAAUACUGAACUGUUACAGAAAUAAUGAAGUCAUCCCUUGCUCUGGAUUUUCUGAAGAAAAUGCAUUGUGUAAAAUGCUGAUCAUUUGUUUAUUAAAAUGUGUC